rnacentral:misc_RNA from 1 species
ACCGGAGCGACGAGUAAGGGUGGCUCUUCGGAGUCGCUCGGAAAGUCCUCAACGGAAGUCGCAAGCCUCGACACAUCACAUCGAUCUCGAUUUUGAUUCUCUGUUUUGCGCUGCUCGCGCGUCAUUUGCGAGCGUGCUGAUUGACAACGGAAGUGGGAAGUGAUUGUGGGAUGACGAAUCCAAUUAGUGAUUCAAUUUCGUUUGGCAGUAUUUAACGAUUGCAAUCACUCGUGAGAUCGCGCGUAAGAAGUUCUCCGCUUGACAUCUAUGGACGUCAAGCGAAUGAAAGCGUAUGGAGGAUGCCUGGGCACACAGAGGCGAUGAAGGCCGCGAUAAGCUGCGAUAAGCCAGGGCGAGCUGCACAUAAGCGUUGAACCCUGGAUUG